CUAGUGGGCAUUUGCUAGUCUACGACUUCCAUUUCCUUUCAAUACAUCACAAUUUACCAUCGGCUUGGUUCCAGUUAACCUAACUUUUGCAUUUUUUCACAUUUGAAUGUUUCUAUCAUCUUGGGCAGAUUAAAUACAAAUUUGGUGACACAAGGCAAAGAUCCAAUAUUAAAUUUAUCUAGGCAGGAAAGCUACAAUGAACUCGUGAUGAUGGAUCUGGAAGAACAACAGAGGUUCAUCGCCCAACAAACUAGUCAAUCAGAGUCGCCACAUAUUCCACGAAGAUUCAUGGUGGUGACUGGAGAUAUCUGGUCAGUGGACUCCAUCGCGCCCCCCUCAGCGACGACUACCGUUACUUCCGCCGUCGGCAGUGUGUCUGCUACAUCAACUUGCGCGGACGAAAAGAGACUCAUUUUAAAAUGAUAAUGAUUGUCAAAUUAAUGAAAGUGAAAAGUUUGGCUAACAAGGCCUUUAUAUUGGUCCACAAGAUAGAAUUUACAAGUGAGUGAAUAAUGUGGUGACAGUGAUAAAAUUUUUCAGAACAAGGACAAAACACUCAGGUAUUUAUCAAUUAUUGCUGUGUGAUUUAAAGCUUGUUAUAUCUUAUGUCCUAUCUAGAUCUGCUAAUUUGCUCAGUAUGCCUGUAUUUAUAACUAUACGCCUUCUUUUACAAACAAUAUUAUACCAAAAGAGAUCAAAUAUCAACUUCAGACUAGCUUAUUGCUGAUUGUAGCCUAUAUUAUUUUUAAACUGGCUUAUGCUUGACUUGUUAAUGAAUUGAUAAAAUUCA